GACAGAGGCCUCGAGCGUUAGGCGGAAUCACUGGGCUUAAAGCGUGUGUAGGCGGAUCGUUAAGUGCCUUGUGAAAUCCCACGGCUUAACUGUGGAACGGCUGGGCAUACUGGCGGUCUUGAGCCAUCUAGGGGCGACUGGAACAAACGGUGGAGCGGUGAAAUGCGUAGAUAUCGUUUGGAACGCCAAUGGUGAAAACAGGUCGCUGGGGAUGAGCUGACGCGUGGAGAACACGAAAGCCCAGGGGAGCAAACGGG
rnacentral:rRNA from 1 species